UACGAAGGGGGCUAGCGUUGUUCGGAAUUACUGGGCGUAAAGGGCGCGUAGGCGGCUUGGCAAGUUGGGUGUGAAAGCCCAGGGCUCAACCCUGGAAUUGCACUCAAGACUGCCUUGCUUGAAUUCGGUAGAGGUUGGUGGAAUUCCCAGUGUAGAGGUGAAAUUCGUAGAGAUUGGGAAGAACACCCGUGGCGAAGGCGGCCAACUGGACCGACAUUGACGCUGAGGCGCGAAAGCGUGGGGAUCAAACAGG
rnacentral:rRNA from 1 species